GGGCCCCGCCUCCGACGCUGUAUCCAGUUCUCUUUUUUUCUUUCUCUGUAUCCAUGGACAAAACCUAUGCCAGAGUUUCACUUCCUGUUUUGAGUCACAGCAAGGAAGAGGGUAGCCACCGUGACGAGCGCUAACCAUUAAUCUUGGAUAAAAGCCUAAAAAGGAAGUUGAUUAAAGUCAGCUAAAUCACCCCGAGUACUGUGUGAGUAUGACCAGAGAGUCUUGUCGUCGCUGGUUACUGAGAAAUAACCGCAUUGGUGCAACAGAGCAUACUUCUGACCACAUCCAACCACACCGAUUGGUGAUGCCUGGUGUGGUCAGAGGUGAAACAGCCAGGGUGGUCAAACACUGCUGAUCAGCCUGGUGUAGGGCCUCCAUCCCAUCCAAGAUAGUGACUGAGACUGCAUGUUCUUUGUUCUGCAAGUUGAACUCAGUCCCCCAGAAUCCUUCACAUUUCCCACAAUCCUCCAAGUAUUUCACACCUGGAUGUUAACUCCACCCAUGGAUCCAAUGUCCAGUUAGCAUUGGUCACUGUGGCCUGUGACCUAUGACAUCAUUGUAUCAAUAAAAGCAGUGAACACACAUUCCUCUCUCUCUCUGGGCUGCAAAGGUACAAAGAUCUCUUUGUAUUUCUUACCUUUACCAGUUGACCACAUUGGAUACACAGAGACGUGCUCCUGUCUAGCUGAUGAGCCAGGACAAAUGGGAUCACACACUCCACCACACCGCUGGAUCUGCUCAAGGCCAUUCAGUGAAAAGGACGGACACACACAUUUGGUCGCUUACUAAGACAAUCAUCACGUAAGACUGACAGGCAAAGUUAGCUACAAGAUUGUGUCUUGUUUAGAUGCUAAAUGCUUGUGUUUUGACUGUAUGCUUUGUAGGAACCCCUGUUUGCUAAUCCAAUCUUUUUUUACUGGUUAGUUACAAGUUUGACUUGCAUGUGUUUCUAAAGUUCUGAAACAGUUAUUUGACUUCAUAAGUUAAGUUAUGAGCAGUUCUUGAUGUCAUUUAAAUACUGCUAAAUACUAUUUAUACCCAAAUAUUUAUUCAUCAUUCAUUUCUUAUAGGGAACUUAAGUAUCCACUUGCCCAUGAACAAAACUUUUGACACUUUUGCAUGUUUAGCUGACCUGCUGUACAAUCACUAAAAGACUAACUGUUAUUCUAGAUAUUAAUUAACUGAAAGUGUAACAACUGAACAGUUUCUCAAUUAUCCCUAUAAAUAAAGACAAAUUACAAAGUU